rnacentral:rRNA from 1 species
UACAGAGGGGGCAAGCGUUGUUCGGAAUUACUGGGCGUAAAGGGCGCGUAGGUGCCGCUGCUAAGUCGAACGUGAAAUCCCUGGGCUCAACCCAGGAACUGCGUCCGAGACUGGGGGGCUCGAAUCCGGGAGAGGGAUGUGGAAUUCCAGGUGUAGCGGUGAAAUGCGUAGAUAUCUGGAGGAACAUCGGUGGCGAAGGCGGCAUCCUGGACCGGUAUUGACGCUGAGGCGCGAAAGCCAGGGGAGCAAACGGG